CUUGGGGUCUGUACAUUCGUGAUUCAUGACCUUAUCCGAUAUGGAAACUAGAGAUUUCAAAUUUAGUUAGGUUACGUGUCAGGUCAAGGUCAAACUUCGGUUAAAGGUCAAAUUAGAUUUUGUAACUAAAGAAGGGGGGUAUUGUAUUUCUGAGUGACUUGCUAGAAUGACAUGAUUAUUGUCCUUUAGUGUGUGAGAGUUUAUUCAUUAAGUUAAUUUUUUAAAAAUUGUAUAUUUACGUUUGUUAAGCUAGAAAAUAUUAUAAUAUCUUAAUAUUAUUUUCCAAUCUAAAAUAUGUACAUUUUGUAUUUAUCUGUUUGCCUCCAUUUUGACAGCCGUCGUUUACAACACAUUUCUGUUUUGUUUAUUUAAUUUGUUUUAUUAUUUUUGUUGUUGUGCGUGUUUAUGCUGCUGCGUGAUUGACUUUUUGUUUUUACUGAUGUCUAUUUUUGGAUGUUGCUCGUAGUUGAUUGUUGUGACUUGUUAAGUUUAAGCUCUUCAUUUACUUGAGUCAAGAACACAGAUGUACAGAUCUAUUGGCAUUGAUGCUUUCCCAUACUUUCACAUACAUACUGCGUGACAAUGUAUCACUUUAGCGACGCGUUAAAGAACUCUGCGCAUGAAAGCUAGAGUUAUAGUGUGAUUUGUGUUGUAAAAGCAUGUUAAAACAUUUUAAAUUGUAACAAUGUCACUUUAUAUAUUACUGAAGUUAUUUUACGUGUAGUACAUUCCUCGUGUUAUUGUUUAGAAAAACGUCCCCGAUAGAAAUUAACGAUUGUCGAGUUGUAUUCUGAUUUACAAGAUUUGUGGACUGGGUCUUGUAAGUGUUUCAUUCUUUGUCUGUGUAUGUGAUAUGCUGGACUUGAUUAUUUAUCCAACAUUGUAUACGUGGAUAAUGUAGUUCUUUAUCUAAUUAUCAUUUAUAUUAACGUAUAUAUCGAAUUAUUUCUAAAUGAUUUAUAUUUAUUUACUAUGUUAUCAAAUCAUCAGACACAUGUUUACAUUGUAGUUGGUGCCACACUAUUUCAAAUAUCACAUUGUCCAUGUUUUUGUGAAUUUUUGUUGAGCAUGAACAUGAUUAUUUUUGUCCACUGUGCUGUUUUUGAAUAUUAGGUAUAUUUGUCCACUUGAACUUUCUGAUUUUUUUUUUUUUUUUUUUUUUUGAAUGACGGGUAAAGCUAAGAAUAAUCGAUCAUGGAGGUCUAUAGAUCACUUUUUGCUGCUGUCAGAAUUUGACCACUAACAUAGUGUCCUUAUUCCUUGAAUUUGCAUUUAUUUUAUCACUUGCAGAUGAUUUUUCGCAUUUGUCAUUCCAUUCAGAGUUAUGGGACUUUGAUCAUAAACGUUUCAGAAAUUAUUAUAUAUCCCUUAAUAACAGUGGAAUAAAAUUUUAUUGAUAUGAGGGCAUGCUCAUCAACAAUUUUUAGAAGUAUCACUCAUAACAGUAUUAUUUGUCUACCCUCCCAAAUUAAGUCACAUAUUUGCUUAAAAAUUAAUUACACUUUGUGCAAGAAUCCUAAUGCAAGUCAGUUUUUAUUCUUAAUUUUACAAAAUUGACCUGGGUUCACAAUGUUAGCAACAUAAAGGGGGAGAAUUUCCCCACCAUUUAUUGUAGUCUAAAACACUGGAAACUUUGGAGGAAGUUUUCCUGGCAGGAAACACAGAGCAGGGGCUUGGACAGACUCCAUAUUUAUGCCGUAGAUUUAUUUUUCUAGUAUAUGCAAACGACAGAGAAAUUUUGUCUGUCCAAAGCCGCACUCUUAUGUUUUCUGAAAGAAAAACAUUUACAAGAAUUAGAAUUUUAAUAUUUUUAGAGUUUUUGUCAUAUUGGAUGUCAAAAUGUCUGUAAAUAUUUGAGACAAAUUUUGUAAAAUUGAUAAUUGGGCAUGUUCUCUUUUGUGAAGUAAGAUAAGAUUUAAUGUAUUUGUUUGUUUUUUAGUUUUGUUUUUGUUUUUGUUUUUUUUUGGGUACAGCUUUAUAAUUUUGUUUAAUACGGGACUUUCGAGAUACGGAUCCACUCUGACUUUUAUCGCGCGUUGAACGUAAUUGUAGGGCAUGUCACUUCCGGAUUACAAUAACAACAAAGUAAACAAACAUGGAAUAUUUCAAUUGCUAUCAAUUUCCUGCAUUUAAAUGCUAUCUUUGAAAGAAAGGGGUCACUACAACCAUUUAUAGGAAAAUACAAUUGAUUAAAUUAUGCGAGUCGGCACGGGAAAUAAAUCUAGGGAAUAUCUUGAGGAUAUCGGUAAAACUUCACGCCUUGCAUCCAAUGGUACGCGUCUAAAUGCGCCUUUUCCCUUCCAUCUAAUUUACACCCAGGUACUAAGCACCAAUAAUGACUUGGAUCGUCAUCGUGGGACUGCACAUAGCUCUUUACGGACCGUCUGUUAGCGAAACACCAUACGUAUCGAUAUCAACUUUGCCCUACAAAUUGGUUAUUAUCACGUGACCGUGGUGUAUAAACGUCAAAUAUAAUCGGUCGUUCCGGCAUAUCCCGAAAGUUCCGUAUUGGACCAAAAAGUCUGUUAUCGUGCAUAUUCUUUGAGCAUUAUACAUGGCGCAAUGAUUACUAAUUGUGUGCAAUGAACAGUGAAUGAGGUCAUUAGCACAGUUUUAAAGUCAUCUGGAGACAAAUGGCCAUCCAUACAUUGUAGUAGUUGAUGGAACUUUCUUAUCGGUCAGGUUUUUAAAAAAAAAUUUAGUUCAAAACAAUUUAAUACAACCAUGUAUUUCUAAUUUUCUGUCAGUAUGAUUAUUUAAUUAUUACCCUCUGAUCACUGACACAGGCAGUUAAACUGACCACUAGCUAAACGAGUCCUCAAUGUGUUGAUUGCAGCAUGAAAUGUCACGUACAAGAGAUUCGAUUCGAUGAAGGCGAGGGAAUGUAUCUUAGACACACUGGGUGGAUUCGAUUAAUGAAAUUCUGUUGGUGACACUAGAAUUCAAUUUAUGCAUGCUCGGUUAUUGAACUCCAUAUAUGAAAAUAAAACAUAUCGUGUUGCGUGGUGUUUGUUUACAACAUGGAGGGUAGGAACGCAAGAAAUGUGAACUCUGAUGGAGAAAUGUAAUAUAAAAAAUUGUCAUUGUUGCAUUAACAUAGGCAGUUGUUUUAUAUCUUCUAAUUGUCAUAUGCUCAUGUAGAAUUGCAUUUUAUUAAAUUAGUGAAAGACAAUGAGUAAAUAAAUCAUUAUAUUUGUAUCAUAAUACCUGGUAAAUUCAGCAUUUUAUUAAAUUAGUUAAAGACAAUGAGUAAAUAAAUCAUUAUAUUUGUAUCAUAAUACCUGGUAAAUUCAGCAUUUUAUUAAAUUAGUAAAAAACUGAGUAAAUAAAUCAUUAUAUUUGUAUCAUAAUACCUGGUAAAUUCAGCAUUUUAUUAAAUUAGUGAAAGACAAUGAGUAAAUAAAUCAUUAUAUUUGUAUCAUAAUACCUGGUAAAUUCAGCAUUUUAUUAAAUUAGUAAAAGACAAUGAGUAAAUAAAUCAUUAUAUUUGUAUCAUAAGACCUGGUAAAUUCAGCAUUUUAUUAAAUUAGUAAAAGACAAUGAGUAAAUAAAUCAUUAUAUUUGUAUCAUAAGACCUGGUAAAUUCAGCAUUUCAACAGCCUGCGCACUCACAAAUGCUGUUAAUGCUUUUAAUUUCCAGUUCGAUUUUAUUUAAAUCUAAAAGAAAUUUCGUUAAUGUGUCAGAAUAUUUUUAUCGAUGCAUCUACAUAUCUGAUACAAAAUAUAAACAAAAGUAAUCUUCACACAAUGUUUCUUCCUAAGAAGCUGCCAUUUUGGAACACUUGUUACUCCUGAUCAAAUGGAGGGUGUACUCGAGUUACACAAGUUCAACAUUCGUGUUGAAAAUAAAAAAAAAAUGUACAACCCUAGUUACCCGUGUAACUCAUUUCACUCAAUCGAAUUCACCCCUUGUGUCUAUUGUGAUAAAAAUGGUUUUAUCAUUUUAACUUUAGAUGUAGUUACUGAUGGGAGGGAGGAAGGGGGGGGGGGGUAAUUUUGAAUACAGUGAAACUGUCUACUCCGAAAUACAACCUGAAACAAUUUUUUGUCAGAAUGCACAGGUGUUGGAAUAAACAGUAUAAAAAGAAUGGAAGUAUGAAGUUAAGGGUUCGGAAUGCCCACAGAAACAGAUUACACAGGUGUGGGAUUAGUCAGUAUAAAAAGAAUGGAAAUAUGAAGUUGCGGGUCGGAAUGCCCACAGAAACAGAUUACACAGGUGUGGGAUUAGUCAGUGUACACUGUAGGUUAUUGACUGACCUGUGUAUGCAGAAGAUAAUAAUUAGUUGGUUUGCAAUUAUAAGUACAGGGUAAUCAUAAAAAGGAUUGUCACUCGAAAGGUGAGGGUGAAGGAAGGGCAUUUCAAGCUUUGCGUAAAUUUUUCUCCAUUUAUAAUAACUUCCAUCUUUUUAUCUCUAUACACAGUUAAACUCGGUUACAGCGAACUCAGUUAUAGUGAAUUCACGCCAACAGUGAAGUGAUUUUCAUUCCCUAAAGUUUUAAAACAUAUGAAUUUAUUGGAUUUAACAAAUUAAGUUUAUUCUUCAUCGCCAGCACUUUGCUAUAAGCAUGUUUUACUCUAUAUAUAUAUUUAUAUAUAUAUAUAAGGACUUUCAUUUAAUAGGUCAAAGUACAUAUAGUAGUGGUCAGUGUUUCCCCUGAGUUCUUCAUCUCAUUGAGUGUAUGCUCAUUUCACUGAGUUCUCAUUGAGUGUAUGCUCAUUUCACCGAGUUCUCAUUGAGUGUAUGCUCAUUUCACCGAGUUCUCAUUGAGUGUAUGCUCAUUUCACCGAGUUCUCAUUGAGUGUAUGCUCAUUUCCCCGAGUUCUCAUUGAGUGUAUGCUCAUUUCACCAAGUUCUCAUUCAGUGUAUGCUCAUUUCACCAAGUUCUACAUGUCAUUGAGUGUAUGCAUAAGUUAUUUGCAAUUUGAUUUGCCUGUACAUGUAGUUUAAAUAUUUUUUUUUAUUAUUUUACUUCAUUUGAUAGAAAAUUAUUGCAAGUAAAUAAAGAAAGGAGCUUUGUAACUGCAUCUCUUAAAAGCAGCGACAUUGAUUUACCCAUCAAGCAUCACACCCCUGCAUGCUGCUUUUCCUUUAUGACAUUUGAAUCUUUUUGAAUGCGUUAACAAUCAGAUUUGAUGUGACUAGAUUAGACUCAAUUGUUCUCCCUGUAGAAUUUCAUGACUAGUCAAGUAGGGGUUUUAUCAAUCAAGUGAAAAUAUCUCUAGAUAAUUUUUACCAAAUUUUAGCAAUGCUGAAUAACAUUUCAUGUACAGUGUAUGUUGUGAGGGCCGUGAAAUGUAAUUUAUUUGACAGAUAUUGUUUAGAAUUAUGACAAGCAAUCAUUAGAGUUUAACAUUUUGAUGUUUUUUUUUUUUAAUCCAGUAUAGUUAUUUUAAUAAAGAUUUUAUGAAUUUAAAGCUUGUUUGGACUAUUUUUAGACAACAUGCUUUUAUAUUCUUAGUAACAAUCAUAUAUUUGUACUUGCAUUGUAAUUUUCUCAAGACAUUUCAGUCUCAUUAUAUGCAGAAUAUACCAUGUUGGAUUUGCUGGAGUAAAACAGUGUUUUAUUUACAUAGGAAUGACUUGUCUCAUAAAAAUUACCAAGUGUAUAAUAAAAGCUAAAUUACAACUAAA